AGCAGGGUGGCUUAGUGGAAAGAGCGUGGCUUGUGAGUCAGAUGUCAUGGGUUCUAAUCCCAGCUCUGCCG
rnacentral:tRNA from 1 species